GCAUUUUUCCGUUCCUCUAAUUGGUUGAGAUGAAUAUGGACACGAUAUUGACUUUCCUGGAGGGAGUCGUCCGGCGGAAUUAUUAAAAAUUCAUUUUCCAGGUGCGCUUUUCAAGGAAGAGCUCAACUUUGUGAGGCCAGGAGGUCAACCAAAACCCGUUUCAACCCGGAGAACCAUGUUUAGGGGUGGGGGGCACUUUCAGAGAAGCAGGUAUCAGCACGAGAGGUAGUUUACACAGGAGAAAAGACUUUUAUCAGCAUUUCCGAUCACAAUAUCAUCUGCGAACAUCAUAGUCCAAGGGGAUUCCGGUCUAACCUCAUCUGUCAGCCUAUCCAUUACUACCGCAAACAGGAAGGGGCUCAGAGAAGAUCCCUGAUGCAGUCCCACCUCCACCUUAAAUUCUUCUGACACACCAAUGGCCCAUCUCACCGCUGUCUUGCUGUCCUCAUACAUGUGCUGUCCUAUUCUAACAUAUUUCUCCGCCACACCAGACUAUAACAAUAACAAUAACACGUCUAUGAAGAGCAGCGGCUUCUGGGGCUCGAAAGGCGGCUUGUAAUCCAAACACUGCGGGUGACAGCCCCCCAGCCCCACUUGGGUGAAAAGCAGCAGCGUGGUGAGAAGAAGAUUGAGAGGCGAGUCCCAUCCCAGGAUGUGAUGUUGGUUCAGUUUGCAGUUUGAUGUUUAUGGGCGGGAUCCAGCGUCUGACAUUAUCAUCACGUCCGCAUUGAACACCUCCUUGGUGCUGCCAAGGCUCGGAGGCGUAGGUUCUCUUUGCGUCCGGCAUCAAACGCAUUCGGCCUGACUGAAACUGCUGCGGGACUAAGCAAAAUUCCUUAGGAGUGUUCGACCGUUAAAGGAGAUGAGAUGAGCUCCCACCGCUCUGCUGUCAGGGAUGGCAUCCGCAGCACCCGGUGAACCAGCAAAGAAAGAGAGUACAUUCUUGAUGAUUAAUAACAACAAUCAUGCGCACAGACAGAAUUCAACACAAGAGGUCUCAAGCUACGAUGUAUUCACUUAUGCAGCUAGCAGCCCUUCACAAUGGAAUGAAGCUUGUAAAGAGCGAUAGCUCCAUCAUUCCUGGAUCGAUGGCGGCCGGCCCGAAGGCGGACAAAUUCGCUUAGCCGCGAGACUGAGCACAGUGCUGGAGGAAGAAGGAAAACGUGGA